AUGUCUCUCAACGCCCUGGAGCUGGUGUGCUGGAAUGUUCGAGGUCUCAACAAUCCAGCAAAAAGGAAGGCGCUUAGAGGAUUUGUAGAAUCUGGUCACGCGGCGAUUGUCUGUAUCUUAGAAACUAAAUUAGAGGUGGUGGACACUUUUGUAAUCUUGCAAUGCAUGGGGCCGAACUAUGAUGGUUUCACUUAUUUGCCGGCGUCGGACACUAGAGGUGGUAUCCUUGUGGCUUGG
rnacentral:rRNA from 1 species